UGGGGAAUUUUGGACAAUGGGCGCAAGCCUGAUCCAGCCAUGCCGCGUGCGGGAAGAAGGCCUUCGGGUUGUAAACCGCUUUUGUCAGGGAAGAAAUCUUCUGAGUUAAUACCUCGGGAGGAUGACGGUACCUGAAGAAUAAGCACCGGCUAACUACGUGCCAGCAGCCGCGGUAAUACGUAGGGUGCAAGCGUUAAUCGGAAUUACUGGGCGUAAAGCGUGCGCAGGCGGUUUUGUAAGACAGAGGUGAAAUCCCCGGGCUCAACCUGGGAACUGCCUUUGUGACUGCAAGGCUUGAGUGCGGCAGAGGGGGAUGGAAUUCCGCGUGUAGCAGUGAAAUGCGUAGAUAUGCGGAGGAACACCGAUGGCGAAGGCAAUCCCCUGGGCCUGCACUGACGCUCAUGCACGAAAGCGUGGGGAGCAAACAGGAUUAGAUACCCCUGGUAGUCCACGCCCUAAACGAUGUCAACUGGUUGUUGGGAAGGUUCCUUCUCAGUAACGUAGCUAACGCGUGAAGUUGACCGCCUGGGGAGUACGGCCGCAAGGUUGAAA
rnacentral:rRNA from 1 species